GAUGGUGAGGGGCUCUUUGGGGCCUCUGGCAGCCAAAGCUGUGUGGUCUCAGUUCCCUUCUCUGCCCAGUGUUUGCAGCACUUGUCCACCUGCCUUCCUCACCUGGAGCCAUCUCACUCCUUUUCAGGACCCCACAACAGCCAGGGUGUAAGGUGCCUAUGCUCUCCUUCAAGCCUCAAGCCUGUAUCUGUAUCUAUAUCCAGGGACAUGAACAAGAACCAAGGUAGUAGGAGAUUUAACUUAGAGCACUCUCAAACCUCAGGCCAAUGUUUGGGGGGAAGGAAUCCCCGCCCAGGACAAAGAGAAUCCCCCUUCCUAUUUUUGCCAGUGUGCUAGUUUUAAUCAUCAUCAUCAUCCCUGGCAAGAAAGAAUUCUCUGAGCACGGAGAGGGUGGCAACAAUGACUACUGAGAUUAUAUUCCAUUUAGGGGGGAAGGGGAGGAUUUUUUUUUUAAUUUUAUUUUGAGGGGAUCAAGACAGUCUGAACUUUAGAGAGUAUUGUAAUGUACUGGAGAGAGGGGACACAAGACUCGCCCCCCACCCCCACCCCGGAGCAAUUGGUGGGAAACUAGAUCUCAAAGCAGAAAAUGAAAAGUCGAUCUGGGGGAAGAUUUUUAAAUAAGUGGGUCAGAGGGACCGAGAGGAGAUGAGGCGAUCAAUCUUAGCCCCCUGACAGCUCCCUCCGAUGGCAUCAAAGAAUUUGGCUCUUUGGGAAAGCCGAGGGAACAGCCGAAAUUCCACAUCCCUUUAAAAGGCCUGGGGGUGGGGGUGAUAGCAAAAGAGAAAGGUGAUUCUGGGAGAGCAGGGGAACAGAUGGGCAAUGGGGACAGAGGGAAGGACGCUGAGUUGGGUGGAAAGUUUGUGUGGAGAACUCCCACGGCUCUGGCCUCCCCUCCCCCUCCUCCUCUCGGCUGCCCAGCAAGGAGGAGAAGGCUGGUUAGCAGAGAAAUGGCAACUCAGCCGGGAGCUGGAACUAGAAACUUUCUGUCAAUGUAACAGCCGCGUGGGUGGCGACCCAAUGGUGGUUGGGCUUCUGGUCACGUGACGACUUCUUUGUAGCUCCGGAAGAGAACUGUGAAGUUUAGGUUCCUUGGAAGAAGCAGAGAACUGCAAGGAAAAAAAAAAUCAAGAUUUGGAGGAAUUACUCACAGAGAUGGAAGACCUCCAGGCUGCCCCCUCAGAGCGCACGGCCUGCGCCCCUCGCCCCUCGUAGCUCUCACCCACCCCAAGACCUCGCCCCUCCGCCGCCCCAGCCCCCCCCCCCGCCCCUCUCCGAUCACAGGUGUGUUAAUUUGGGCGCUUCUUGGAUUCUACCCUGAGGAGGAGGCGCAUGGUGAGAGGAGAGGUCUGUGUAGGUAGGGUGGGGAUCGCAGGGUCCGUGGUGCUGGUUGGGGGCCAUAGGGGGCGCCCCAUUGUAGUCCAGGUUCCCCGAGGGGUGGUGGGAAAGGUGGUUGAGGCCGUAGAGGGAGG